rnacentral:rRNA from 1 species
CAGUCGUACCUGCGGGUAAUCAGCCUUUUGGGCAUGAUUCUGUGGAGCGUGAAGAGUUUAACCGCCUUCAUGUUUUGCAUAUUCGUGCACAUUUGGUGUAUUUGCCCGUGUGGUAGGUUAACAUCAAUUUCGGACGUCAUAAAAUGAUUGGAGGAAUGUAGCUUUGAUCUCGUAUCGAAGUGUUAUAGCCUUUGGUAGAUGUGACUAUUGGGAUUGAGGAUUGCAACGGAUACCCUUCGGGGCUACCUGUCUGAUCUCUAAUCGUUGCUCUGGUACCGAAGCGUGCUUACGGUUAUCAAAGUCGAUGGUCAAC